rnacentral:lncRNA from 1 species
UUGGUCUGCACCUGUGGCUGGAGGUUACCUGUCUGGGAUUCAGCCCACCAGGAGGGAGCAGAGGGAAAGGCGAAGGAGACCUGGUGAAUGACUGACCGGGUGUCCUGAGGGACCUAGUCCCAGCAAGAGUCCAAGUGUCCAAAUCUUCAAGAAACCCCAGAGACAUUUGUCAAGGCGCGGUACUGUCCCAGCUGCAGGGAAUCCCGCGCAGCAUAGAUAUUUCAGCUGUGCCGACUUUACUGACCCAGCGCUGUCCUCGAAGGUGGUAGAUGAGAUGGACCGACAUCCGAGACUGGCCUGUCCACAGGCACCUCCAGUCCGCUUGGUGACACAGAUGCAUAGACAGGACAUUGCUGGUGGGCGCUGAAGAACAAAUGACCUAGAAAAUGUUUGGCAGCUGUCUUUGUUCGCUGGUGUUUAAUGGGAAAUAGCUAAGCAAACGGACACACUGGCCCUGUCGGAGGUAUGGCGCACAUCAUCGCCCAUUGCUCUGCUACCAACUAACUAAAUACAUGGAA